AACGAUAAAGGCAAACUCGGGGUAACCCGGGGACGCAAAGCUAAAGGGUCCUGAGACAUGGAUAGCCAGUUGCCGAAA
rnacentral:ncRNA from 1 species